AGUGAGCCAUCGCCCGCCACAACGGCGGCCCCCUGGGUGGAGAGCGCCAUCUGCGCCACCCACGCCACCCCCGCCAUCCCCUCCAGGUGGCCGCUUGAAGGAGCGUGGGGCCGCUCAGGGCCCAGAGACCGCGGGCGGGGGGCAGGGCAGACGGAACUGCCUGGGUCCCUCCAUUUUAGGCCUCCGCGGAGGGCCACAGUACUGCAUCCCAUACCACAUAAAACAAAAAACAAAACAAAACAAAAAAACUUAACAGCCUAGUCAUUUUCCGCGGCAUCCAGAGAACCAUCAGAGUCUGGCAAACCUGUUGCCUCCGAUUGACCAGAAAGAGGGAAAACCCGAAAGAGGGGGUGCUACCGCAGGAUUUACCAGGCCCUGUGCAGGAAGGUAUGCACGAACAGGUUGGAAUGGGGGCUGGUGGGUAUAACUCGUUUGUGGAAAUAGGGAAUACGCCAUGGCACACCUGCUGCGUAGCCAAGCUUGGAAACUGAAAAGGUAGGCAAGACUCUCCCGUGUCCCCGGUGGUGGUCCCAUGAUAGGGUAUUGGGUGGCUAUGACAUCUUGGAGGGUCAGCUCAUCACCAACACACAGACAGGGAGCCCCUCCCAUCUUCCAGGCCUCAAGUUCUCUCUCUCUCUACCCCCCUCUUUUUUGUAGGAGCCUCCUAAGAUGUAACCUGAAUCCCGAAUGACAGAGUGAAUUGGGCCAGUGAGCCCCCAGGAAGGUGCUAGAAGAGUAAAUAUUUGCCCAUCGGUCUCCCUAUGUCAGGUGGUCAGAUAAAAUGGACAGUUCUUUUCUGAACCAAACCUCAGCCUGCUUCUCCCAUCCUCCCUGUUUGCCCAGCAGCACCUGCGAUGACACUGGCCUUGGUCUUCUGGGUGAUGGCUCCCUUCUGUGAUCAUUUCAAGAUGGAUCCCUAUGUAGAGAUGCCUGCUUCUGUUCCUGAGCAGCCCGGGGAGCAGCUGAGUGAAGAACCUGCCUAGAAGAGGAAGGGCCUUUCUGAGCUUACCAUGGGCUCCUGAGCAGUUCUGUGAUGCAGACCUCUGAGCUGGUGAUGAUGGCAUUGCGGUUCCUAGGAUUGGGCUGCUACCAGAAAAGUGAAGAUGUUGAGAGCUUUCUCAGCCUUAGGGCUCCAUCCCUGGAAUCACAUGGGAUAUCAUACAGAUGCGUUCUUCUGGCAGCGAUAGCUCAAGGUCCAUGUAUCCGGUUCUCAGGAUGGAAACCUCCAAGACGCUAGGCAGCCCCAGGGACAGCGUGGCCUGGGUGCCCACUAAGAGUCAAGGACCCAGAGGAAGAUCUCCAUAUCUCUCGUUUCAGUGCCCUGGCUGUGUGAUGGGGUAGUGACGCACGUUAUCUCCUUGAAGUCUGUACUGCAAGCAGCAGAGCUUCAAUCAGCUCAUAGACUGGACCCGGAUGGCCGUACAUUUCCAUGUGUGAUGAACUCUGCUCUGCCAGCACUGUCUGGUCAGAGAUGCCAUUUCUGAUGUUGCCACAUGUUGUUGUCUCUUAAAAGAAAAAUCUUCAAGUACAGUACACCAAAUACUGCCUGGAUGCCUCCUGUUUUUCUCGGGUGCCAUACCGUACCUAGUGUAGGGAAGUGGGUGGGGUGCGGGACAGCACUGUCCAAGCCCAGCAGGGGGCAUCCAGAGAGCUGAGAAGGGAAACUGCAGCUUCAGAGCCUCCUCCUAGACCACCCUUGACAGAACCACCACCCUCUGCUCCCCCCACACCAAGGUCUGGACUCAAUGUGUUUAAUUCAAAUUGAGCCUGAAGAGAAAGGGGAAGUGCAAGAACGUUCUGCACGCCACUCUGUGCAGCCCAGAGAUCCGUCUGCAGGAGCAGGUAGGUGGUAAAGUCCUUACUGCUGUCUGGCAGGGAGCAUGCGAGGAACUCAUGACAAAAUGAACCACCUGCCACAAGCUGGAGCUGGAUGCCUGCUUUUCUCUCAUGACUUUACCUCUGUUCUCUCAGAACUCCAUUCUGAGGGGUUACCAGAGAAGCCAGAAGCCCUAGGGCUGAGGUGAGGUGAGGUGGGGCUUAACAAGAGGGCAGGAGGCUCAGGCUGGGGGGGGGGUCAGACAGCAAGAAUGCGAGAGACUCCCUUGUGGGGGCUGGGAAAAGGGCACCCAGGAGGACAGGAAAGGUGACAUGAGGCUCACAUGCAAUGUGGGAGACUAGAGGAAGUCAGGAAGUUUUUGUGGUAGGGUAGAAGCCUCAGGAGCAGGACAGGAGGCUCCUGGGUGCUGUACAGCAGGACAGGAGGCUCCAGUGGGGGUACUAUAGAC